CUUGAAUCAAAUGUCUAAUGCAUACUCGGAGUUCACAGUUAGCUGUUAGUUAAAAGGUAUUGCUACAUAGCGUCAUUUCAUUUUAGGUUUGUAAACUUGUCAGUUAACUUUAUUCCCUGCAUUUGGGUAUGUUGAGUUAUUUAGGCAAGAGUUAAUUAUGCUGUUUAAUGACAUACUAAUAAUAAUUUACUGAUAUUGAAUUUCAGAUUUGAAUAUUGGAUAUAAUGGUGAUUUGAUCUGCAAAGGAAUGUCUUUAAAUUAAGAAAUGGCAUCACAAGGGACUUUAAACUGCCUUUCAGGGACUUUUGGACAAAUUCCAAGAGAUAUAUUAGAAAGUGCGAAAUUUUUUUCGUAUGACAGUGAAAAUGAUGAUUUUACAUGUGUCCUGUGCAAUAAAAUAAUCCAGACAGUUAAAUGUGAUGAAAUGUAUGAUGAAAAGUCUACCACAAAAAACUUUCAUAAACAUUUAUUAAGUCAUAAUCACCAAAGGAAUUGUGUUUCUUUCUCAGAUCUGUGCUUGAAAUUGAAAAGUAUAUUUCAAGGAAAUAUUCCUCAGAUUGUAAAUAAUAAUUUAAAUGUUUUGAAUAUUAUUGGUGGAAAGUAUAAGUGUGCUAUUUGUGAUAAAAACCUAAAUGUCUCACAGAACAGCCAGUCAACAGAAGCAAACUUUUCAAAACAUUUAAUGUCAUAUGAACAUGAAGAAAACCUACAAGAGUUCAGAGAAACUAUUAGUAAUUUACAUGACAUUUAUGGAGGAAUCCCUGACUUUAUAAUGAGCCACAGUCAGUUUUUAAGUAAGAAUGGUAAUGACUAUACCUGCAAUAUUUGCAAUAAACACAUCCAGGUCCAUCCUUCUGAUAUUGAUAUAACUGAAAAUAAUUUUAGAAAACAUCUCCGCUCUUUGAACCAUGUGAAAAAUGCCAAAGUGAAAAAUGCUUUUUCUCUUCAUCCUGAACUAGAACAAGUUUUCAAUUAUCAUCUUCCGAACUACAUGUUAAGAAAUAUUGAAUAUAUCAGUGUCAAUGGGGCAAACUUCUUCUGCUGCCUAUGUUUUACAAAUAUAAAAUUCAACCGUCAUAAUCAUUAUGAAACAGAACAAAAUUUUAAACAACAUAUGUCAUCAUCAGAUCAUGAAGAAAAUUUAAGUCACAGAAGGAACACUGAUGAUAAAGUGUUCAAUAUUCUUCAUGAAUUAUUUGAAGAAUUUUCUGAUGUUGUCUUGGAAAACUUAAAAUAUUUAAGUGUAGAUGGAGAUAAUUUUUACUGCACUGUUUGUGAACAGACUAUUGAAAAGGGUGAAGAUAAUGAGGAAACAAGAGAUAAUUUGAUUUUCCAUUUUGAAGAGUCGGGUCAUGAAAAUGUAGUUGAUGACGAACUGCAAAGACAAUCAGAUCUGAUUAUGAAGCUUGAAGAUGUGUUUGGAAGUAUUCCAGAACGAAUCAAAGAUAAUGUAAAGUACAUUGAGUUCAUGGGAGGCAAUAACUUCAGAUGCAUCUUGUGUAACAAAACAAUGCAGUCAAAAAUCAAUGGAGACGAUUAUGAACACACAACUUCAGUAACAGAAGAGAACUUUGUAAAACAUCUCGACUCAGACAAGCAUAGGGAUGAAGUAGAAAAGGAGGAAAAUGAUGAAGAUCUUCAAAAUGAUUUGGGAGAAUUAUUCUCCAUUGUUCCUCAGUACAUCAUGAACAAUUUAGAACAUCUUGGUUAUGAAAACAAUAGUAAUAACUUCUACUGUGUAUUGUGUGACAAAACCAUUGCCAUUGUCAAUGGAAAUAAAAAAGAAGAAUGUACAGAGCAGAAUUUCAGAUCCCAUCUACUGUCAGUAGGCCACAUGGCUAAAUUGAAAUACAAAGCCAAUAAAGAAAUGGAAGUGAUUGAAAAUCUGGAGUUAAUAUUCAAUGAAGUACCAAACUACAUUUUAAGCAACAUCGAGCAUAUAACAGAUGAAGAUGGUCAUUUCUUUUGCUCACUGUGUGAUGCUCAAAUUAUGGUAGGUAAAGAUUCUACAUCAUCAGAGCAAACAUUCCGGAGUCAUAUUUUUGGCAAUCAACAUAGAUCUAAUGUGAAAAAAAAUGAAGUGGAAAAUGGUAUCGCGAUGCAAAGGUUUGAUGAAAGCUUUUGGCGUAUACCUGAAUUCAUUUUGAGGAACAUUGAUUUCAUUUCUCUAUAUGGAAGUGAUGAGCUACAUUGCAGUUUGUGUCAGAGAGUUUUGAACAUUGAUGAAGAUGACUUGAAAGCCACAAAAUGGAACCUCCGUUGCCAUAUUGAGUCUUUGGAGCAUCAGCACCACUUGAAGAGUAUGUAAGAUAAAUCAUAGUGAGAAAUUCUUACAGUUUUCCAAGUUUUAAAAAUAUAGGCUUCCCUGACUAAUUUGUUUUAUGAUUUUAAUCACAAUGUACUAACAAGGGAUAGUUUUACUUGCUGAAUAUCAUUCUAUUUAUUAAGUAGCAGUGCAAUAGUAGGAUGUCUCGUAGCAGAUGUGAUUUACUUUAAGGUUUAUGUUAUUUAAAUAGAGGACAUCAGGGGUAGAGUUCAGUAAACGACCUAGUUUUUAUAUCAAUAUUAGUUCUUAAUAAGAAUUAUCAAUAGUUUCAACCAAUAUUGUUAAAUUAAUUGUAAUUUAUUGUUGAACUUUUUUCAGUUGGCGAACCAGAAUGCCUCUGGUAUGAUUAAACCUUAGUUUUGAUCCGUAAACUCAUGGUUCUUCACCUGUUAUAACACGUUUCAGUAAUUCUGCGUUGAUGUCGACUUCAUUUAGUGACUCCUCAGCAACUUCCAUUCACCAUUUGUUCAAAAUUCAGCAAUUUUGGAACAAAUUUUUCUGCCACAGGUUUCAUACCCAAAAUAUUCAAAAAAAUGUAAUGGCAUGAGCCAAUUAAUCCAACAUCAUCAGCGACUUCUCUCAUCUUAAUAAAACAUUUCUUUCAGGUUUUCAUCUUGUUGUAGAUGUGCUGGGGCAUCCAGAGUGUUUGUCAUUUUCAAUGUCUUUACUGCCAUCUUUGAAACGUUUAAACCACUUGUAAACCCUUAUUUUACUCAUAGCAGACUUACAAUAGGCCUUUGUUAACAUUUCCCACACUUUAUUUCAUUUUUCAUAUAAAAUUUUAUACAAAGUCUUUGAUCUAUUUUAAAAAGAAAAAAUCACUUGAGUUCAUAAAUUACGUCUAACCUUAUCAGCAGCCAUUGAAAACGUAUACAAUGAAUACAGAUGAAAACUGUAUUAUACUUCAGGAGCAUUAGCAAAAACAUAUUGAACAAAUCUUUACAAUCGGACUCUUCCUACUAACGAAACUUAAAAAUGCCCGUUACUUUUUGAACACACAUAUAACAUGUCACCUGUCUGCAUUGAUGCCAACUGGCAUCAACAUAGCUAGGUAGUAUAUGUUGAGCACACACCAUCUAUCUGCCUUAGCUUAGCUGGGCUUUCUUGUUGGUAUGGAUCUCAGUACCGAAAUAGGUGUAAAAUGAAAUCAAGACGAGCCCUUGUUUGUGGAAUAUAUCAACCAAUAGUAUGAAUGGUCACAGAUUAGUUGAGUAUUUCACCCAGAUUGUAAUGAAGUGACUCCUGAACAUAUGUAAUUAUAAAUAUUACACAAGAAGUAAUACAACACUGGUUACAUAAUAAUAGAUUAGGAUUUGUCAAGUUAAAUAUAAUAUGAGAUUAAAUAGGUAUAAUCUGCAUUACAGCUACUGUAUUUCAAUUUAUUACUUUGAAAUAAAGGAAACUAAUUUUAUAAAAAACAGAAUACAGAUGUUAAAAUUUGUACAACAUCCAUUUUUUCCUAUACCGGUACAGACAGAAAUCAUAUGCAUAAAAACUAUUAGGUUUUAAGUUUUUCAAAAUCCAGUAGUAUAUUCAGACUUAAUAAGAAGAAUUGAAGCCAGUAAUGUCUGUCUCUGUUUCAUAUAAUUUUAAGAUGAAGCAUUUACUGGGGCUAAUUUGAGUCUAGGAAGUUAGUCAUUUAACACUUUGCUACUUAAAUAUAUUCCUCCCAUUACAUCUAUUCUGUUUUCACAAUUUAAUAAUUCUCAGUAUGUACUCCAACAUAAUUCAAUUCUGUGGUGGAUUCUACCUGAGCCAGUAAUCCUGCUUGGGUGGAUAUCAGAUAUCUGUAAAAGACUUUCUGCUUUACAUGAUUUGUCAUUCAUGUCCUCACUGUGCUAGAGGCACUCUCAAACUUGGUUGUAGUACUGGCCUGUUUGUGGGCGAUGAUAAUGAACAAUGUUACUGAUACCAGGUGUGGGCGAUGAUAAUGAACAAUGUUACUGAUACCAGGUCAUCACUGACAGACGUUUACAACUGGUCUUCACAACCAGUUUCAUAUUCCAUCCCUUGGUCUCUGGCCUGUGAGUACACAAAAUCGGUAAGUUCUUGCUGCCAUUAGUGACUACGUGCCAACUAUCUCCAGUACAUUCUAAAACUGAACAGAUCUUUCUUCUCAGUGAUGAAGGAAGUUAUGAGAGAAGCACCAUCACUAGCUAGCAACUGGAAGAAGACAUUGUUCUUCCCCCAUGCCUAGUCAUCAGGCUCAUUGAAUGGAAUCUGCAGUUAUGGAGGUGUUAGGCAGCUAAGAACCAUAUUCUUCCUCAACAUCGAUAGCCUUCAUUCUGGUCUUGUCAUCGUGGAGCCUAAACCAGUUUCAAGGGACUACGGUGCAGAAGAUGAUUCUCCACAUCUCUUUUCUCUAGCAGAUAAUCAUAUACAACGUCAUCUUGUCUGUCCGAUUUGGCUUGUAGCUCCCUACUGUUACCUUUUAGCUAGCAAACCACUUACCUUCGGUUUGGUGAAGGUGCUAUUCCCUCAUAUUUAGUACCAGAGCCAUUGGUAUCAUCUUGUACAAGUCAUUAUCAGUUAUGUUGGUCCUCUAGCAUUUUAUUGUCAAUUUUCAGACUUUCACCUGAUUAUAAUGAUUUGUCCUUCAAUAAUCAGAUGACUCUUGCAGGAGUUUAUCUCUUAACACGAGCUUCAGCGAACACCAAAAAGUAUUACCUUCUACUGUUGGAAGUCAGUACAAAAGGCCAAGAGUCAUGGUUUAGCAUUAACAUUUAUGUUAUGUUCCUUAAAUGAAUUAAUCAACCUAUUGAUAUUAUAUACUUGACUUUAACUGCAAAUGCACUGAUCUUUUGUUAAACUUUUAAGCAAUACCAAAUAAAUGUUGGAUAACUUGAACUGGGCAUAUUUGAAUUGUACACAAAUAUAAUUUUUUUAUUAUCUAUAGUCUUGGAGUAGGAAAAAAUAUAUAUAAUCUAAUUUAUGUAUUAUUUUAUGCUUAAUACUAUUAUGUAUUCAUUAGGGACAUAUCCCUAAAUACAACAAGCAAAUUUCUAAAUACAUAGAGCAUUGUUGCAUGUGCUUGAUAAUCUUGCAAUUAUGUUUCUUUGUUCUAUAUUUCCUGUAUGAAUAUAACUGUAUGUUUGUUGGAAAAUAAAAUAAUCUUACAAUUA
rnacentral:misc_RNA from 1 species